AGCAGCCGCGGUAAUUCCAGCUCCAAUAGCGUAUAUUAAAGUUGUUGCAGUUAAAAAGCUCGUAGUUGAAUUUCGGGAUCAGUACGCUGGUCAUGCCUUUGGUAUGCACUGGUGUCACUGGUUUCUCCCUUCUGAAGAACCGUGAUGUCAUUAAUUUGGUGUCGCGGGGAAUCAGGACUGUUACUUUGAAAAAAUUAGAGUGUUUAAAGCAGGCUCACGCUUGAAUACAUUAGCAUGGAAUAAUGAAAUAGGACGUUUGACCCUAUUUUGUUGGUUUU
rnacentral:rRNA from 1 species